rnacentral:rRNA from 1 species
AACACUCCUAACGGGGUGCUAAUACCGAAUGAGAUUUUCGGAUCGCAUGGUCUGGAGAUGAAAGGCGGCCUCUGCUUGCAUGCUGUCGCACAAGGAUGGUCCCGCGUCCCAUUAGCUAGUUGGUGGGGUAACGGCCUACCAAGGCAGUGAUGGGUAGCCGGCCUUAGCGGGUGUCCGGCCACACUGGGACUGAGAUACGGCCCAGACUCCUACGGGAGGCAGCAGUCGAGAGGCUUCUACAAUGGGGGAAACCCUGAUAGAGCGACGCCGCGUGGGUGAUGAAGGUCUUCGGAUCGUAAAGCCCUUUCAGCAGGGAAGAAUGAGGCUGGUGUAAACAGCGCCAGACUCGGGACGGUACCUGCAGAAGAAGCUCCGGCUAACUCCGUGCCAGCAGCCGCGGUAAGACGGAGGGAGCAAGCGUUGUUCGGAUUUACUGGGCGUAAAGGGCGUCUAGGCGGGCCAGCCAGUCAGGUGUGAAACCCCCCGGCUCAACCGGGGAUCUGCACUUGAUACUGCUGGUCUUGAGUACGAAAGAGGAAGGCGGAAUUCCUGGUGUAGCGGUGAAAUGCGUAGAUACCAGGAAGAACACCGGUGGCGAAGGCGGCCUUCUGGUUCGAUACUGACGCUAAAGCGCGAAAGUGUGGGGAGCAAACAGGAUUAGAUACCCUGGUAGUCCACACUGUAAACGAUG